rnacentral:rRNA from 2 species
ACAGGUUGACCUCGGAUCAGGUAGGAAUACCCGCUGAACUUAAGCAUAUCAAUAAGCGGAGGA